AUUCCUACCGAACUAGUCUCCAGUCUAUCUCAGUUACAUGCCUCCAUCUAGCGGCCACCACAAUCAUAGUACCAAUUCGUUAGUUUUACACUGUUCCCCCGAUACAUGAAAUGUCCAGGUUCUUUUUUUGAAAGUAUUUAGCCUGCUACUAGUUAUCCUUACAUGCCCUGUAGUUCGGUUAUGUUUGCUAUGUUUCUAGUUAAUAUUUACGAUUGUGCACGGAUAUUGUCAGUUUCCCAUUACUAAUUCAGCCCUGGUAAGCGUUUAAUAUUCACUACGUAUAUUGCAUUAGCAUCAUAUAUCGCAUAGGUCUUAUUUUAUCACUCAUGGACUUGGUACCGAUGGUUAACUCAUGAUUAUAACUCAUGGUUAUGUUAUCCUUUCAAAACCCGCCCCUAGCACAUUGGUUUACAUUAUUACUCCCUCGUACUUUGUGUCCCUGACCAUACGCAAAGACAUCUGGAAAGGUAAAUUUUAGUCUCCUUACUGAUUGCCUCACACAAUGUCUUAGAGUACAGGUCUUACUACUACGAUGAUCUGUACGUCGUUUUAUACACCAGAAUCCCAAACUCAAUCAGAAACUCACUAUCCCAGAAUUCAUCCUAGCCGUCAGACGUUCGUGACGUAAGUGGCUCUACUUCUCCUCACCAUAGAGAAGGUUUGCAUCGACAACCUGGAGUUUUACCUCUAAGCACACCCUUUCCGUCACUCAGUCGACUUCUACAUUAAGAUUUCCAUACAGG